rnacentral:rRNA from 1 species
AGAUGGGAGCUUGCUCCCUGAUGUUAGCGGCGGACGGGUGAGUAACACGUGGGUAACCUGCCUGUAAGACUGGGAUAACUCCGGGAAACCGGGGCUAAUACCGGAUGCUUGUUUGAACCGCAUGGUUCAAACAUAAAAGGUGGCUUCGGCUACCACUUACAGAUGGACCCGCGGCGCAUUAGCUAGUUGGUGAGGUAAUGGCUCACCAAGGCNACGAUGCGUAGCCGACCUGAGAGGGUGAUCGGCCACACUGGGACUGAGACACGGCCCAGACUCCUACGGGAGGCAGCAGUAGGGAAUCUUCCGCAAUGGACGAAAGUCUGACGGAGCAACGCCGCGUGAGUGAUGAAGGUUUUCGGAUCGUAAAGCUCUGUUGUUAGGGAAGAACAAGUACCGUUCGAAUAGGGCGGUACCUUGACGGUACCUAACCAGAAAGCCACGGCUAACUACGUGCCAGCAGCCGCGGUAAUACGUAGGUGGCAAGCGUUGUCCGGAAUUAUUGGGCGUAAAGGGCUCGCAGGCGGUUCCUUAAGUCUGAUGUGAAAGCCCCCGGCUCAACCGGGGAGGGUCAUUGGAAACUGGGGAACUUGAGUGCAGAAGAGGAGAGUGGAAUUCCACGUGUAGCGGUGAAAUGCGUAGAGAUGUGGAGGAACACCAGUGGCGAAGCGACUCUCUGGUCUGUACUGACGCUGAGGAGCGAAAGCGUGGGGAGCGAACAGGAUUAGAUACCUGGUAGUCCACGCCGUAACGAUG